AGAGUUUGAUCCUGGCUCAGGACGAACGCUGGCGGCGUGCCUAACACAUGCAAGUCAGGGAGAAAAGGGUAGCAAUAUCCUGAGUAAACCGGCGAACGGGUGAGUAACACGUAGGUAACUUGCCUUAGAGUUUGGGAUAACCCUGCGAAAGUGGGGCUAAUACCGAAUGAAACGAUUUUUUCGCAUGAGUAGAUCGUCAAAGUUAAGCUUCGGCUUAACGCUCUGAGAUAGACCUGCGCCCGAUUAGUUAGUUGGCGAGGUAAAGGCUCACCAAGACUAUGAUCGGUAGCCGGCCUGAGAGGGUGAUCGGCCACACUGGGACUGAGAUACGGCCCAGACUCCUACGGGAGGCAGCAGUGAGGAAUAUUGGUCAAUGGGCGAAAGCCUGAACCAGCAACGCCGCGUGAGGGAUGAAGGUCUAAGGAUCGUAAACCUCUGUUAGAGGGGACGAAUGGUCUCGAAUUGCCGAGACUUGACGGUACCCUCAGAGAAGCCCGAUU
rnacentral:rRNA from 1 species